rnacentral:rRNA from 1 species
AGCAGUAGCCGCGGGAAUACGAAGGGGGCUAGCGUUGUUCGGAAUUACUGGGCGUAAAGCGCACGUAGGCGGACAUUUAAGUCAGGGGUGAAAUCCCGGGGCUCAACCCCGGAACUGCCUUUGAUACUGGGUGUCUAGAGUAUGGAAGAGGUGAGUGGAAUUCCGAGUGUAGAGGUGAAAUUCGUAGAUAUUCGGAGGAACACCAGUGGCGAAGGCGGCUCACUGGUCCAUUACUGACGCUGAGGUGCGAAAGCGUGGGGAGCAAACAGGAUUAGAUACCCGAGUAGUCCCUGUCUCUUAUAC